rnacentral:misc_RNA from 1 species
CGACCACCAGGGGUGGAGCCUGCGGCUUAAUUUGACUCAACACGGGGAAACUCACCAGGUUGAUUCUGGGCCUGGAAUAGUGGAGUUAUUCUGCUAGUACUAACCUUUACCCACGUGGGGGAAGCUAUGAGCCCCCGACUCGAGGCGUUGGGAGUCUAUAAGGACUUGGUUAGUGCGACACCAGCUGGUACAGGGAACGCUCUUUACGGAGCCGACCCUGUGGCGAGCCCGAGUAGCGUCGGGCCGUCGCAACGCACGCUAAGCGGUGGGCCGAAAGGCUUAAGGUACGUGCUAAUCCCACGGGCAACCGUGGCUAUCCUGAAUAGUUCCGAGUUUACGAAGCAGGAUGGGGGUGGCGUAAAGCCGCCUGUAUGGUCACACGCAACAUUGGCUUCACGAAGCCAUUGCAAAGUGUGACCGAGUGCCAGACACAACGAGGAUUGACAGAUUGAGAGCUCUUUCUUGAUUUUGUGGGUUGGUGGUGCAUGGCCGUUCUUAGUUGGUGGAGUGAUUUGUCUGCUUAAUUGCGAUAACGAACGAGACCUUAACCUGCUAAAUAGCCCGCGUCCGCUUUGGCGGCGCGCAGGCUUCUUUAAGAGGACUAUCGGCUCAAGCCGAGAUUUGAUGAGAAAACGGGUUAA